rnacentral:rRNA from 1 species
CACGUAGGGCGCAAGCGUUUGUCCGGAAUUAUUGGGCGUAAAGAGCUCGUAGGUGGUUUGUCGCGUUGUUCGUGAAAACCGGGGGCUUAACCCUCGGCGUGCGGGCGAUACGGGCAGACUUGAGUACUGCAGGGGAGACUGGAAUUCCUGGUGUAGCGGUGGAAUGCGCAGAUAUCAGGAGGAACACCGGUGGCGAAGGCGGGUCUCUGGGCAGUAACUGACGCUGAGGAGCGAAAGCGUGGGGAGCGAACAGG